UACGUAGGGUGCGAGCGUUAAUCGGAAUUACUGGGCGUAAAGCGUGCGCAGGCGGUCUCGCAAGUCCGAUGUGAAAUCCCCGGGCUCAACCUGGGAACUGCAUUUGUGACUGCAUCGCUGGAGUGCGGCAGAGGGGGAUGGAAUUCCGCGUGUAGCAGUGAAAUGCGUAGAUAUGCGGAGGAACACCGAUGGCGAAGGCAAUCCCCUGGGCCUGCACUGACGCUCAUGCACGAAAGCGUGGGGAGCAAACAGG
rnacentral:rRNA from 1 species